UUGUAUUUGUGGGGUUCCCAGGCAAAGAAAUGAAUGAUGACAGAAUCCAUGUUCUUAGAAGGCUAAUUUAUUAUUUUAUUAUCUAUAUUAUAUUAAAGAGUACUAUACUGAACUAUACUAAAGAAUACAGAAAGGGUACAGACAGAAGGCUAAAAAGAUAAUAAUGAAAACUUGUGACUCUUUUCAGAGCCUUGACACAGCUUGACCCUGAUUGGCCAUUGAGUAAAAACAAUUCACAUGAAACCAAUGAAACAAUGUCCAACCACAUUCCAAAGCAGCAAAACACAGGAGAAUCAAAUGAGAUAAUAUUGUUUUCCUUUUUCUCUGAGGCUUCUCAGCUUCCCAGGAGAGAAAUCCUGGCAAAGGGAUUUAUCCAGAAAAUCUGACUGCCACACAACCCCACCUCCCUGCUGGUGGAAGCCCAGCUGGGGCUCUGGGAAUUGCAGAGGGACACCAGCCCCAAAACCUGGCUCGUCAGCCAGGCACAGUGGGAUCUGCUGGCUCAGACAAGGAGAGAACAAACAUUUUUGCAGCAGAAAUUAACUCUUUGUGCUGGCAAGUGACUGAAACAGCCAUCAGCAGGUCUGAUGUCUGCAUUCCCAUAAAACCACGGAAUCUCUGGUUGCUCUCCACGGGCUUGCCUGACACUGGAGCUGUUUCCAUUGACGUCAGCUGUCUCCAGAUCAGCCCCAGACUGCCUUUUCCCAGCUGGAGCACUGUGUAAACCCACGUUCACACAUCACAAGUCUCAUGGCACAGCUUCUGUGUGAACAAGACAAGAAAGCAGAGACUCAGGAGCCAGGGGAAGCAGUUUUUGGCUGUUCUUUCCUUCUGUGGGAUGAGUCACAGCUGACCACCAGGCUGACACAGAAAAGAGUUGUUACCCCUUGGAAGUGAGAGCUGAUUGCCUCCCAUUUCACAGCUCCUCGAGGUGUUCUGCACCUUUGCUCACUGCAAAAGGAGGGAGGAAAACACAACAAAAAUCUAUUUGGAGCAGCGUAAGAAAAACUGUCUGCGUGACCCCUGUAAAGAUGGCAGUGUUUCAAUCUGAAACGGAUUGCAGACCAUAAAAAUCAGGAACAGGUGAACUCUGCCUGCAGGACUGAGCGCUGCCUGGGCCUGCAGCAGUAAAUGCUGACCUCCUUACUCCAUAAAGAUAAGAAUUUCUGCUGCAUUCGUGGUGGCUGAGGAAUGAUGUGCUCAUAACCAAAUCCCUGUAAUAGGGAGCACGCAGUUCACAGCGAGCCCACUGCUGGAAGCUCCCCGAUGCUAUCGGAGCAGCAGCCACCCUUUCACAGGUGUGAACUGCAGAAAUGGGAGUCAGACUUGCUGGGAAGUAGUAAUAAAAGGCAAAUAAACCCAAGAUGGGAGCUGUUCACCCAUUUAUUCAGCUCGGGUAGCUCCCAGAGCUGAGGAUAAGAUCUACAGCUGGCAUGAAGUGAGAACCCCUCUUGUCUUGUCGACUUACCAAGGAAAUUUAACUCUUAGCUGGGCUAGGAACUGAAAAUCAGGAGCUUGAUUGCUAUGUAGACUCAUCUAAAAAAAAAAAAAACAAAACAGAACAAAACAUGUUUGAUUUGGUCUAAAUUAAGGAGUUUUUUUCUGGGAGGAAAUUUGCCUAAAUGGCAGUCAGGGUGUUCCACAAGGAGCUGAGCUCAGCAGCCUCCUGACAGAACAAAUAUGGACCAUGGUACUUCAGCCUUGCUGUUAGCAUUGAAGUAGGUGAUUGCUAUCACAGUGCACUACUCACCAGUAAUAAAGGUCUUGAAAAAUAGAUCCUGGUAGGCAGAAUAUUUAGAGAAAAUGAAGGUUUGGUGAGAGCCUGCUAAAUUAACAAAUAUUCAUAAUUUGUUUUCCCCUCCGCCACUAAUGUUCCAUCCGCUGGUUAUAAAUAUCCAGGUAAUAUUAAUUUCCUGCAUCUGAGGAGGGGGUAAUUAGCAGCCUGAAGGCAGCUUACAGGACUCAGAAUAAUGGGAGCUGGCUCCUAGGCCAGGACAGCCAGCGUGGGAGGGAUUGCUCCUGCAGAGCAGGGCUGUGUUUGCAGAGGGAAUGACAUCCCAGUCAGUGCCUGUGCCAGGGUCCCCCAAACAUUUGUGAGGUGGGAAUUACCCCAGUGGGUGUGUUUAGCAAUAAGAUUAUCCAUCUACUGUUAAUCUUGUUAUUUUGGGACGUUAAUGGACUAUGAGAGAAUCUUUCCAGCUAACUCAAAAACACCAAGUAAAUUCUAGGCAAGGAGCAAGUUGUGGGUGUUCCUUAGCUCUGACAUUUUCCCUGGUCUCUGGCAUUUUGUCCAUUUCUAUAUAUCAUCACCAUGACUACAGUGGGAAUGUCUAAGAGAACUCCAGGAUAAAUCUGACAGCACCUCCUUAGAAGUACUUAAAAUCAUGUAAUUAAGUAAGAAAAUGCAGCUGAUUGAGGAGGUUAGAGCUGCCUCGCAGAAGAUUACAGCACAUUUCAUGAUUAACAAUCAGAACAUUCUUUUCCAAACCUCUGCCUAAUUUAGCAGACUAAGGUUUCAGCUGAGGCUCUGCUCUCAGUGCUGCAAGCAGGGAGGGAGAAGGGUAAUUUCCCACCAUUUUCACUGCUUUCCUCGUGUUUACUCCAGUGUCAGUCUCCGUUCUAAUUUUGCUGCCUGGGUUAACUGACUUAACAGAAGUAGUGAAAAGCCAAAAAGGUCAAUGCUGCUGAUCACAGCUCUGUAAUUCCCUUCAGUCCCUUGGCAGUUGAUAAUUAGGAUGGAGGAACAGGAUAAAAACAAAACGUUUGAGUGACAAAAACUUUGCACCCAUCAGUUAAUGUGCCAAAAUUAAUCUUUUCUCUACAAUUAUAUGUUGGUUUCAGAGAUAAACUUGUGUUUAUUUACUGGGAAAGACAUUUCUGUGGAACUCUGCAGGUAAACUGUUGGAGAGAAAGAAAAGUGGUUCAUGUAUGGAAUACAAGGGUAUUAUUUAGAGUUUUAAAUAGAAAAUGUUGUUUUGGUAUAAAAAAGUCUAAAUGGAUAGGGUUGGAAGGGACCUUAGGGAAUGGAUCAAAGAGGUGAAUCAUUGGAGGGAGGUGACAGCAGGAAAGGGAUCCUGAGGGACAAUUCCUGGGUUAAAUUGUGCAGGAGUUUGCUUGUGCAACCUGCUGGGUUUGGGCUGCUCUCAGUGGGAGGAUGAUGCUCUGGUGAAGCAGCUCCAUUUCCCUGUGCCCUGCACACCUGCACAGACAUUUGCAGGUGGCAGCACUGGGGAAAUCUGCAGUGUGGUGACAAAAUGUGGUUUUUCAGAUGUCUCAUGUGACACUGUGGCAGGGGGAAGAAAGGUCCUCAAACACAACUGAGCUCUGGGUUGUUAUUUUAUCUAUUUUCUGUCAGUUUUUGAUGUAUUAUUGUCCAUGGAGUUCUGGCCACGUUCCCUAGGCUUUGUUGCCUUUAAAAAAAAAUUUUAAAAAUGUAAAUGAAUAUGUAAAUUGCCACCUAUUUGCUUGGCAGCCCUCAAAAAACUUUGCUCAUUUUGCCUUCCAUGGUAACUGAGUCCAUGUCAACCUCCACGUUUUUCUGGGAAAGUUAUUUAUCUUUUCCUCCAUCACUUGGUUGAAUGCCCAUGUCGUGAAUUACAGAAAAAAAAAAUAUUCCUGUUGUUUAAUUCCUUUCUGUACACCCCUACUAAAAAGGAGAGGCUUUCUUUUUUUGCUAAAUAUAUUAUUUACAAGUGUGUUAAAGGUUGGAGAGAAACUGGAAGUGCUGCACAGAAGGUUUAAAAAGGAAAGAACUUUUUAUUUUCUAUUAAUAUUAUUUCACAAAAUAAAUACCAACGGCAUGCAGGGGCAGGAGCCCUGAGAAUAAGGAGUCAACACAUGCAGCCAUGGAAUUGGGAUUUUUUGCAACCAGAUCCUUUGAGGGAAGAGGUUUUUUUAAUCCUAAAAUUUGUGGUGAAUACUGAUUUCAAUUGCAGCUACUUUUGGAAAUAUUAUGCAGAGUUUUUGCAAUAUUUCAAAGAUAUUUUUGCUCUCACAUAGAGAGUAGUAAUUGGAGCAAUCAUGGGGAAAACCAGCAAGUUUUUCCCCCACAAUACAGCACAGAUUUAAAUUUCCAAGUCCUUUAACUAUGAGUGAUGCACUGUGUUUUUAUCUUUAUUCUCCUAUUGCAAAAUUCAGCGUGAUUUGUGGAGGGAAUUAACAUUAAAAAACACAUCCCUGAUCCUAGAGGCCUGGUUUGAGUGUAAAUACAGUUGGGAAAGUCCUGUCUGCAAGUCCCAGGUGUGGAAAAACUGAUGAUGAAUCUGACUUUUUUUCUUAAAACCUCUUGGGGAAGUGCCAGCAGAGAUAUCAUUAUUAGCAUAUGUUAAAACAGAGCGAGAAAUACUCUUUACACAAGAGCUGCUGCUGGAGUGAUCAAAUAUCUCCAUUGCUGCAGGUCAGAAUGUGCAAAUUAACAGGGAUAUUCAAGUAUGAAACCACUGGCAGGGAAUGACAAAAGGUUUCCAGCAAACAGGGGCUGUGGUGUUUUUAUCCAGCAGUUUUUAUCCUGGCUGCAUGACAGGAUGAUGUGCAGUCCACAGGAAUUAUUGACUCAAAGGAAAAGAACAUCAAGCAGGCAUUUAAAAUUCAAGUCUGUAAUUAACUUACCUCGAGAUGAUCUUGGAGGAUUUAUAUUGCCAAGGGUUGUGGGGCUGAAAAGCUGAGAUUUUCCUACUGAGCAGGCAUGGCUCAGGUACAGAGUUAAUCUGGAGGGGAAAACACUUCAGUGUUUGGAAUUCGUGGUGCUUGUAACAAAAUAAAGGAAAAGAAGCUGGAAACGGGGCAUGUGACAGACAUUAUCUAACUCUGUGUGUGCUGGGAGGGGGAGAGGAGUCGGAAUUAUUGUCAAGUUAGAGCAGCAAAUUGAGAAUUUUGCAGAAAGUUCCUCGCUGUGAACAAGCCUGCACCUUUGAGAUAAAAAUAGGCAGAGCUGUGGAUGUAACUCCAAAUUAUGUAAGCUCCUUUAACACAGGGAUUUCAGCCCUUUUUCGGGCAGAGAAGCUGGAUGCUUACAACAAGUUUUGAUACUGGGCUGGUGCUGUUUAGGUUGUUCUGUGACUCUGUUCCCUCUUGUGAGACAGUCUUUA